AAACUGUAAGAGCUGACAAAAAAAAAGUUACAUGGUUCAUGGGCUGGCCCACUUAUGCAAACCAAAAAAGACCCAUUCGACAAAAAAACGCUUUUCUUACUUCUAAUUUUUUAAGCAACGCGUGGAGGGCGCGGCAGAGGAAGCCAGCUUCCAGAGGCAGAAACUGAAUGGGCAUAUCGUUCAGAAGACGAUGACGGCGACGGAAGUUCAAGGUCGUCCUCCUUGGCGCAGCGACGGCAGCGUUAAGCAACUAAUGAUCUGUAAUGCAGCUAGCAGAACCGGAUUUGGGGUGGAAAAGCGAGAUCUCUGCCAAAUCGAACAAGAGGCAAGGGGGCAGAACUUCAAUCCCCGAAGAAAAAGGGCUUCAAUCGUACUCUUAGGUGGGGAGUGGCAGCUGGCGAUCUCACAUGCAUCGGCGACGAAGGUUUGGUGAUAGCAAAAAAGGAAUCUGAUUGAAGAAGGGAGUGGAGAUGUCGUGUGCUUCAGAGCGAUGGUUACGGCGGUGGUGGUCUGGCGAUGUUUUGACGCCGGUGGUGGGUGACGGCACCUGUUUGGCGGCAUUGGUCGGAGAAGGAUUUGCUCAGAAGGGGUGGUACACUGGUAUGUGAGCGGGGUAGAACCGUAGGAGAGUAUGGGUGGGUCGGGUUCAGGGGCGGGUUUCUGGACGGAUUGGGUUCUCUUUUUGCUGGGCUGAGCCCAUGACCAAAAUUAAUUUUUUAAAUAUUCUACAUGUUAGUUAGCUCAUAUUUUUUUUCAUAAACUAAAUUAGGUUAAAUUUUUAACUAAAUAAAACUAUUGGCACACCAUCACCCGCCACCAAUGAUAUAAUUAUCAUCCUAAUAUGUAAUAACCAUAAUUUAGAAUAAAAAUAAAAUUUUUAUUUUAUAGCCAUGAUUUUCAAAUAAAGAUAUCUUUAAUUCAUAUUUGAGUUAGGAUAUUUUUUUUGUGACUAGUUAGGAUAUAAUAUAUACUUUUAGCCAAAAACCUGCCAACUUUUGUUGGGUUUAGAACAUGAAGCCCAGUCCACUUCAGCAACAUCCCAAAUUAACUUAGCUAAACAUAAUUAACCUAACUGAACCAUCUCUUCUCUUUUCCUUUCACCCUUUUACCGUAUUAGACCUCCAUUACCAUACACGGCUGUGCCACACAACCAGCCUCAUCGCGUGGCGUUCUCCUCUGCCAUCGACAGCCGCUGUGCCUCGGUCCACAUCGUGCGGGCAACAUCAAUUCUCCAUAGCUAGCUACAGAACGCCGCAAAGGUUCUCUCUCGUCGACUUGGUCAUUGGCGCGUCAGUCAGAAUCACGCCCAUCUCCGCCGCAACGACGUCGUGCCACCCAGUUGCGAGGAAGAAGGCGGUUCUGCUUGUCGCAAAGAGUGCGCCAUUGCUGCUGCAUGUCGGUGUAGGCGGCGCCAUUGAAGCAUCUCUUCCCUGCUACCACGAACGACAGAACGUCCCUGCCCCAGCCUCAAAACAUCCCUUGCGAGAACUAAUUGUUUCCAUUAAAGGAUUUUGGGCUAUUUCUUGUGAAACUGCAGCAGGAUUGUUUUGCAGAAAAGUCCACCAACAUGGGGAAAAAGGUAAAAUGAUGUCUACCAUUCUCAUUUUAACAUUCCACAUGCUCCUAUGUGUGACUUACAGCUAGUGUUACAAUUAACAAAAAUUGUUAUAGUCGCGAUGCUCGCCCAUCUACAUACAUGACAUGAUGAGCACAUUAUCUAAAAACAACUCCGUUGAGAAGCUUGCGGAGAUUGAUGAGAUCGGAUUCGAAUUCUUGAGGCUUGUUCCAAAUUGGUCGGUGAAGCAAGCCAUCAUGGUUCACCUGGCUGAGUCGUAUCAAGUUAAGCCAAGAACUUUUAUACUUGACAUUGGCAACAUCCGCCUCAAUGCCGAGUUAAUCGGGAGGGUCGUCGGCAUUCUGUCUCGAGGUAAGUUCUGCUAUCUUAAUUCCCUAGUGUGGCGUAGGCGUAUUGGCACAAAUAUCUUUGGGUAUAGAUAUAUCACCAUGCACUAACACAUGAACAUGUUGUAGGGGAUCCAUUCCCAGCCCUGGAUGACAGUAAUCCGUGCCACGUGGCAAUCAAAAAGAGGUUUCAUAGACGGACAACAACUGAACUCUGGGAUUUAGUUUACAGCUGUCUAAUGGCAACAGAAUCAGAUAGGAUGGAGCUCAGGAGAUAUUUCCUACUAUUGGUAAUGAAAAUUUUCCUGUGCCCCACCACUCAACAGGUAAUUUCGCCAUAGCACAUCUAUCCCGUCUUAGAUGUUUCUGAUCCACGAAGAUUCAACUGGCCGUUGCAAACUCUAAAGUGGUUCGACAAGGCAGUCGAGAAGUAUAAGCUGAAAGGGAACAAAACUUGUGAAGCCUGCUUGUCGUCAUGUUGUUAGGACGCAAUGACUAUUAGUAAAUUCAAUAUGCCAUUUUUUAUGUAGAACACAACUUGUAGAAAAUAAUAUUUUAUGGUUGAAAAUUCACGUAUACACCAAAAUCACAGCUACAUGUACAAACAGAAAUAAUAUUUUCAACCAUAAAUAAAUUUUCUACAAGUUAUGUUCUACAUAAAAAAACAACAUACUGAAUUUACUAAUAGUCAUUGCGUCCUACCAGCAUGACGAACAUGCAACCUUUACAAGUUUUGUUCCCUUUUAGCUUAUACUUUUCGACUGCCUUGUCGAACCACUUUAGAGUUUGCAACGGCCAGUUGAAUCUUCGUGGAUCAGAAACAUCUAAGACGGGAUAGAUGUGUCAUGGCAAAAUUACCUAUUGAGUGGUGGGGCACAGGAACAUUUUCAUUACCACCAGUA